rnacentral:pre_miRNA from 1 species
GGUCUUCUAAGUUCGUGUUGAAAUUUCGCCAUACACUAAUCCAUUAGGAAUGGUGAGAUUCCUAAGAUAAGUAAAGUG